GGAGAUGUACCCAAGUGGUUGAAGGGUCCGGAUUCGAAAUCCGGUAGGUCGGCUUCAAACCGGCGCAAGAGUUCAAAUCUCUUCAUCUCCGCCA
rnacentral:tRNA from 1 species